rnacentral:tRNA from 2 species
GCGGGCGUGGCGGAAUUGGCAGACGCAGCGGACUUAAAAUCCGCUUCUGGCAACAGAGUGCCGGUUCGAGACCGGCCGCCCGCACCA